GGGGAUGAUAGGAUUCGACGGAGGCAUAAGGCCAUUGAGAUCAGACCGAGGAUUAUAGGACACUCGUAAAACUCCCUAUAAGCAAAUAAGUGCAAACUUGUUUAAAUCUUUUGGACGCCAGCCAGCAAUGGCUUUCGCGUAACAAAGGAACUCUUCUCAUCUAAGGAUGGGAAGCAUCGGCCGAUCAAAGCGUAUGAGGUCGAUCACCGGUGUUAUACGAUAACGCUUGGCGGCUCUCAUCGCUGGAGUAAGAGUCGCGACAAUUACUGCAGCAACCUCUCCCGUUUGAAGCGGGAUAUGCCUGUAUAAAUUUCAAUCGCUAAAUCCUCCGGACGCCGGUUCAAUUCCGGCCAUCUCCACCA
rnacentral:tmRNA from 1 species